AAUUUGGAACAGAUUGGGGAGUGGGGUGGGAGACUUAGGUCUAAGACUUAGGCUAUUAAGAAAACAAAGACAUCAGUCUAGUUCUCUCUGUUCCUGGUGCAAAGAGAUCACAGAAAUUAGAGGCAAAUAAAUAGUUGUCUCUUUUGCCUGUCUGUCUUAACUUCUAGCCUGUGAAUUCAUUGAGGACAUGGCUUAUCUUAAUAUUCCCACCCUAGCAGAGUACCUGGCUGGUUGAAAUAAUGAAUGGGCUGAUGGACUUAGACAUUCAAAUUCAGUACUUAGGGUUGCUACUCCAUAUUUUUUUCUCUGUUAUAUCUAAUUCAGCUUUUAUUUAUAACCUUAUUGUAAAAAUUGUUUCCCUGUGAGACUAUAAUGAAAGUUAUAGUAGAAUUUUACCAAAUGUGACAUUUGUCCUCUUGUUUAUAACAAUCUCUAAGAAAUAUCAUUAUAUUCUAUAUAUUUUUCAUAAAUUUUGAAUUUCCUUUGCAUAUACAUGGUUACUUUUUUGUCCUUGGAAAAUGAGAACUUCAUUUCUUAAUUAUAUUGGACAAAUAUUAACAUGUCUCUUAAUAUCUAAGAAUGCCAUUUGUUACAUAUAUAAGUAGCUGGAUAUAAUGUACACACAUAAUUAAGAUUUAAAUAUAUUUGGACAACUAUUGAAGCAUAUUAUUUUGUAGAUAUUUGUCUCCACCUAUAGAAAACAUUGCCCAUGUAAUUUUAUCAAUUACAUAGAGGCACAAAAUGAUGAAGAUGAGUAAAAUUAACAAUAAAGUAUAUUUGGAUAUUCAUGUUCAAGUGUUAUUUUUAAAAAUUAGCAGAUUUAGCAAUCUGAGACAACAGAAUUGGA
rnacentral:lncRNA from 1 species